AUUGAACGCUGGCGGCAGGCUUAACACAUGCAAGUCGAGCGAGCGGCGGACGGGUGAGUGAUGUCUGGGAAAAUGCCUGAUAGAGGGGGAUAAGGACUGAAAACGGUAGCUAAUACCGCAUACUGUCAGAGGUGCCCAGAUAGGAUUAGCUAGUAGGUGGGGGAAUGGCUCACCUGGGCGACGAUACCUAGCUGGUCUGAGAGGAUGACCAGCCACACGGGAACUGAGACACGGUCCAGACGCCUACGGGAGGCAGCAGUGGGGAAUAUUGCACAAGGGGCGCAAGCCUGAGGCAGCCAUGCCGCGGGUGUGAAGAAGGCCUUCGGGUUGUAAAGCACUUUCAGCGAGGAGGCGUUACUCGCAGAAGAAGCACCGGCUAACUACGUGCCAGCAGCCGCGGUAAUUC
rnacentral:rRNA from 1 species